rnacentral:rRNA from 1 species
GACGAACGCUGGCGGCGUGCCUAAUACAUGCAAGUCGAGCGAAUCAAUGGGAGCUUGCUCCCUGAGAUUAGCGGCGGACGGGUGAGUAACACGUGGGUAACCUGCCUGUAAGACUGGGAUAACUUCGGGAAACCGGAGCUAAUACCGGAUACUUUCUUUUCUCGCAUGAGAGAAGAUGGAAAGAUGGUUCUGCUAUCACUUACAGAUGGACCCGCGGCGCAUUAGCUAGUUGGUGAGGUAACGGCUCACCAAGGCGACGAUGCGUAGCCGACCUGAGAGGGUGAUCGGCCACACUGGGACUGAGACACGGCCCAGACUCCUACGGGAGGCAGCAGUAGGGAAUCUUCCGCAAUGGACGAAAGUCUGACGGAGCAACGCCGCGUGAGCGAAGAAGGCCUUCGGGUCGUAAAGCUCUGUUGUUAGGGAAGAACAAGUACGAGAGUAACUGCUCGUACCUUGACGGUACCUAACCAGAAAGCCACGGCUAACUACGUGCCAGCAGCCGCAGUAAGAC